GGAGUCGUAUCGAAGUGGUCAUAACGGGGCUGACUCGAAAUCAGUUUGGCGGGUAACUGCCACGAGGGUUCGAAUCCCUCCGACUCCG
rnacentral:tRNA from 1 species